AUGACUUACAUUUAAAUGGAGGCGUGUAUGCUCACGCGCACACAUGCUCACGCACACACAUUAUAUAUAUAUAUAUAUAUAUAUAAUGUGUGCGCGUGAGCAUACACGCCUCCAUUUAAAUGCAAGUCAUA
rnacentral:pre_miRNA from 1 species